GACGAACGCUGGCGGCGUGCUUAACACAUGCAAGUCGAACGGAAAGGCCCUGCUUUUGUGGGGUGCUCGAGUGGCGAACGGGUGAGUAACACGUGAGUAACCUGCCCUUGACUUUGGGAUAACUUCAGGAAACUGGGGCUAAUACCGGAUAGGAUCUCCUGCUGCAUGGUGGGGGUUGGAAAGCUUCGGCGGUUGGGGAUGGACUCGCGGCUUAUCAGCUUGUUGGUGGGGUAGUGGCUUACCAAGGCUUUGACGGGUAGCCGGCCUGAGAGGGUGACCGGCCACAUGGGGACUGAGAUACGGCCCAGACUCCAACGGGAGGCAGCAGUGGGGAAUAUUGCACAAUGGGCGGAAGCCUGAUGCAGAAACGCCGCGUGCGGGAUGACGGCCUUCGGGUUGUAAACCGCUUUCGCCUGUGACGAAGCGUGAGUGACGGUAAUGGGUAAAGAAGCACCGGCUAACUACGUG
rnacentral:rRNA from 1 species